rnacentral:rRNA from 1 species
UACGUAGGGGGCAAGCGUUGUCCGGAAUCAUUGGGCGUAAAGCGCGUGUAGGCGGCUCGAUAAGUCUGCUGUGAAAGUUCAGGGCUCAACCCUGAAAUGCCGGUGGAAACUGUCGAGCUAGAGUCCGGAAGAGGCGAGUGGAAUUCCUGGUGUAGCGGUGAAAUGCGCAGAUAUCAGGAGGAACACCAAUGGCGAAGGCAGCUCGCUGGGACGGUACUGACGCUGAGGAGCGAAAGCGUGGGGAGCGAACAGG